UGGGGAAUAUUGGACAAUGGGCGAAAGCCUGAUCCAGCCAUGCCGCGUGUGUGAAGAAGGUCUUCGGAUUGUAAAGCACUUUAAGUUGGGAGGAAGGGCAGUAAGCGAAUACCUUGCUGUUUUGACGUUACCGACAGAAUAAGCACCGGCUAACUCUGUGCCAGCAGCCGCGGUAAUACAGAGGGUGCAAGCGUUAAUCGGAAUUACUGGGCGUAAAGCGCGCGAAGGUGGUUCGUUAAGUUGAAUGUGAAAGCCCCGGGCUCAACCUGGGAACUGCAUCCAAAACUGGCGAGCUAGAGUAGGGCAGAGGGUGGUGGAAUUUCCUGUGUAGCGGUGAAAUGCGUAGAUAUAGGAAGGAACACCAGUGGCGAAGGCGACCACCUGGGCUCAUACUGACACUGAGGUGCGAAAGCGUGGGGAGCAAACAGG
rnacentral:rRNA from 1 species